rnacentral:rRNA from 1 species
GAUCAUGGCUCAGGACGAACGCUGGCGGCGCGCCCAACACAUGCAAGUCGAACGAGCGAGAGAGAGCUUGCUUUCUCGAGCGAGUGGCGAACGGGUCAGUAACGCGUGAGGAACCUGCCUCAAAGAGGGGGACAACAGUUGGAAACGACUGCUAAUACCGCAUAAGCCCACAGGUCGGCAUCGACCAGAGGGAAAAGGAGCAAUCCGCUUUGAGAUGGCCUCGCGUCCGAUUAG